UCCACGGCAGCGCCCGGAACUCACAAAGAGCCCCGUUAGCCUCGUAGCGUGCCGCCGGGGCUCGCUAAAGCCUUUCCGGCUCCUCUGCGGGAGCCCCAGCCCGGCUACCCCAGCCCCGAGCGCGGCCCAAGGUCGAUAACGAGAGGAGCGAGGGGCCCGCCGCAGCCGAGCGGCCUGGCUCGAGUGAGUGUGCAGGGCUGUGAAAAAACCCCUCAGUGCACGCUAUUAGUUGAUAAAUGGUCGAUUGAAUUAGCGCUCUGGCGGCCUGGCAGGCUCUGCUCUGUCCCGGCUGGAAGAUUCUGUAGCAGGGAUUUGUAGUUCGAGUGUAAAGAAUUCGCAGUUCAAGGGGGAGUCACAUAAAAAGCAGAGGAUAAAUGGGAAUCCCGGGGGUGCCCGGCAGCCCGGCUCGCCCCGCUGCAAGCAGCGGGAUCAGGUGUGUCUCAUUCCUGAAUUAGUCCCAGCAGGUGCGUUACAAACUCAGCUCCGGGUAAGAAAUCGCUUCAGCGUGAGCCUCUUGGUAAUAAACAGCGGUGUUAAAAAACAAGGUGGUGUUUCGCGGUCCUGUUUGUUACUUGGCAGCUUGUUACAUAAUGACAGGCUUGGUGUUUGUUACAGGAGAUGUUCUAAUUAGCAGGCGUUAAUAAACCAGAGAGCUGUGCUGGCUGUUCCCCCGAGAGCUCGGGAGCAGGAGCCCCCAGGGAUGCAGGAUCAGAGGCAGGAACAAAAAAGAAUCCACAGGAAGUCAAGCGAGGAGAAGUUCCUUCUUUCCAGGAACAAACGUGGGUGUAAUCUGGGGAGCUGUGGAAUUCCCACCAGUUUUGUCAGAAUUCCUAAGCUUGGUUAGCAUGGCUGAGCUGUUGGAAUAGCUAUAUUCCCCUCUUGUUUGUGUUGCCAGAUGCCAGUGGAGCUUCCCAAAUCCAGAUAUUUUGGGGACCUUAAAUCCCAUCCCAUUCCCACCAAAUCCCAGUGUCCAACCUGGCCCUGGGCACUCCAGGGAUCCAGGGGCAGCCACAGCUGCUCUGGGAAUUCCAUCCCAGCUCCUCCCCACCCUCCCAGCCAGGAAUUCCUAAUUCCCAACAUCCAUCUAAAUUUCCCCUCUGGCAGAAAUACUCUUUUUUUUCAUAUGUGUCAUUUCUUGAAUAAUUUUUAAGCUUGUUUGCUGUUUGUUCCACGAAGGAAGAGAAUUGGGUCCAUUAUUGAGUGAAGAAAGACUCAUCCAGCCUAAGCAGGAAAAGCUGUUGAGGGUGUUGAGGGUAAAAGAUUUAAUUUGGUUUUUGUUGAGUGUGGGUGGUUCUGGGCCAUCUGCACCUGGAGACAAUAAAUGCAAAUUUGGCUCAAGGCCUCCAAGUGACUUCUCAGCCCCAUCAGCUGCUUGUGCUGUGGGUUUAAAAGGAGAAAAGUGGAUUUUACUGGGAUUUAUCCACGUGGAUCUCAGCAGUUACCAGAAAGGGCCUAAAACAGGGAGUCCUGCUGCUUCUCUUUGGGAAGGUGCCUGAUGCCAAUCAAAAUCUUCAUGGAAAAAAAAGAAUAAAUCAUGGGGCAAGGAUGGUGAUUGCACUGUAAAGAGUUUUGCAAGCCCUCCUUCCAGAUUUCUGCCUCUUUAGUUCCCAGUGGAGGUGAAACCCAUGGAAGUUUCCUUCCUUGGGUGGGUCAGCUGCAGAAAUUCCACCCCAGAAGUCUGUGGUGUGGAUUGUACAGCCCAGCCACCCCAGUGAGGUCUGUAGUGUGGGGUCAAAUUGGGGAAAAACCCCAGAACCCUCCUUGCAUGCUGUCUGGCUGAGGGGUGUGUGCUUUUCUG